rnacentral:lncRNA from 1 species
AAAGGGUCUAAGUCAGGUGCUUCAAUGAAGUGUUCUGGCUGUCAAGGGUCUGGGAUGAAAGUUUCUAUUAGACAGCUUGGUCCAUCCAUGAUCCAGCAGAUGCAGCACCCUUGCAAUGAGUGUAAGGGUACUGGUGAGACAAUUAAUGACAAAGAUAGGUGCCCACAGUGCAAGGGAGAGAAGGUUGUGCAGGAGAAGAAGGUGUUGGAAGUUCACGUGGAGAAGGGUAUGCAGAAUGGGCAGAAGAUAACAUUCCCAGGCGAGGCAGAUGAAGCUGUAAGAUAUUUAGUCACAUUUUUGGAAUAAUUUGCUUAUAAUAACUGAAUCUUGUCAUGAAUCCAUUGAUUUGUGCUUUUGCAGCCGGAAACUAUUACUGGAGAUAUAGUUUUCAUCUUGCAACAGAAGGAACAUCCCAAGUUCAAGCGGAAGGGAGAUGAUCUUUUUGUUGAGCACACGUUGACCUUGACCGAAGCCCUAUGUGGUUUCCAGUUCAUCUUGACUCACCUAGACAACAGGCAGCUGCUGAUCAAGUCCCAACCUGGCGAAGUUGUCAAGCCUGGUAGGCCCAAUAACCCCUAAUGACCGUUAAAGAUUAUGUUUAAUGCAUUUGGAGUCUCCCAUAAUAGGCUCUGUUUCAUCAGUUAAUUCCCCUGGCCAGGGCCAAUCUCUUAGCAUUACCCUCAAAUAUUUGACAUUGAUGAGUUAAAAUGGCAACUAUAGGAACCUUUUCUUCUCAGGUUCUUGUGCAACUAUUUGGUUUCUGAUGGAUAGGCUGUAGUUCUGAAAAUAUCUCGUGGAUACUGACCACAAUUUCUAUUGGCUAUGCAGAUCAGUUUAAGGCUAUCAACGAUGAAGGAAUGCCAAUGUACCAAAGGCCUUUUAUGAGAGGGAAACUGUACAUUCAUUUCACUGUUGAUUUCCCCGAGUCAUUAACCCCAGAGCAGUGCAAGAACCUUGAAGCGGUGCUGCUGCCAAAACCCAAAAUGGAAGUGUCUGAAAUGGAAUUGGAUGAAUGUGAGGAGACUACUUUGCAUGAUGUGAACAUCGAGGAGGAGAUGCGAAGGAAGCAACAAGCAGCCCAAGAGGCUUACGACGAAGAUAAUGAUAUGCCUGGUGGUGCACAGAGAGUCCAAUGUGCACAACAGUAAUUUAGUAAUUGAUAGUGUUAUAGAGUCAUUAACCCCCGAGCAGUGCAAGAACCUUGAAGCAGUGCUGCCGCCAAAACCCAAAAUGGAAGUGUCUGAAAUGGAAUUGGAUGAAUGUGAGGAGACUACUUUGCAUGAUGUGAACAUUGAGGAGGAGAUGCGAAGGAAGCAACAAGCAGCCCAAGAGGCUUACGACGAGGAUGAUGAUAUGCCUGGAGGUGCACAGAGAGUCCAAUGUGCACAACAGUAAUUUGGUAUGCUUCAAGAAAUUAACAGGGUCUACUCUCCCCUGGUAAAAACCAUGACAUUGUCAGGAAUAUUGCUAUCUGUGGUAGGAGGUAGAUUACUAGUAAAGGAGUUGGGAAUCUUUAUUAUGCAAACUAACACUAUAAGCAGAAUUUUACUGCUUGACAAUUGCAAGUGUGCUUACAUGUUUUCGCAAUUUGUUAGUUAUUUUUUUCAAUCGAACACCUAGCAUCUUAUAAUUACUUCUAUCCUUUUUAAUUUGAAGUCCCAAUGUGAAUGAACGAACCUGCCUGAGGAAACAACUUGUGGAAGUCCUUUACAUAUAUUUUCUUACUUAUGUU